rnacentral:rRNA from 1 species
CUACGGGGGGCUCCAGUGGGGAAUAUUGCACAAUGGAGGAAACCCUGAUCCAGCAAUGCCGCGUGUGUGAAGAAGGCCUGCGGGUUGUAAAGCACUUUCGGUUGGGAGGACUGCUUCUAGCACUAAUAUUGUUGGAAGUUGACGUUACCUUCAGAAGAAGCACCGGCUAACUCCGUGCCAGCAGCCGCGGUAAUACGGAGGGUGCAAGCGUUAAUCGGAAUUACUGGGCGUAAAGCGCGCGUAGGCGGCUAGAUCAGUCGGGUGUGAAAGCCCCGGACUUAACCUGGGAACUGCAUCCGAUACUGUCUAGCUUGAGUACAGGAGAGGAGAGUGGAAUUCCACAUGUAGCGGUGAAAUGCGUAGAUAUGUGGAGGAACACCAAUGGCGAAGGCAGCUCUCUGGCCUGAUACUGACGCUGAGGUGCGAAAGCGUGGGGAGCAAACAGGGUUAGAUACCCUCGUAGUC